UACGGGGGGGGCAAGCGUUGUUCGGAAUUACUGGGCGUAAAGGGCUCGUAGGUGGCCAACUAAGUCGGACGUGAAAUCCCUCAGCUUAACUGGGGAACUGCGUCCGAUACUGGAUGGCUUGAGUUUGGGAGAGGGAUGCGGAAUUCCAGGUGUAGCGGUGAAAUGCGUAGAUAUCAGGAGGAACACCGGUGGCGAAGGCGGCAUCCUGGACCAACACUGACACUGAGGAGCGAAAGCCAGGGGAGCAAACGGG
rnacentral:rRNA from 1 species